ensembl:lncRNA
GUAGAAUGUUGGUGUAUUUUAGUGUCUCUCUUAUUGUUCACAUUUCUAGUCUAGGAACAGGCCAGGGCCUCUCAUACUGAUACAAGGUGUUAUCCCCAACAUUCUGCCAUUGUUAUGUCUCAAGGUUGAACCUGGUCCUCCGGGACAUACAUAGCCAGGGCCAAAUACCUUAUCAAGGCUGAGAGUGCGUCUGUUCACGUGUUAUUCAUCUAUCCCCUUUUUGUAUAAUACUCGCCCCAACCCUUUGGUUCGACGAGUAGAGGGUUUCGACAGCCAAGGAACAAGUCAUCGACCACCGGGUCCACUAUAGAUUAUUCAACCUGUAUCUGUAUCUCGCUGUAUUCCUGGAAAAUAAACCAUCUAUUCAACCCUCUAAUCCAACCUGUCAAGCUGCUUUGAUUUCGACUUCAAGAAUUACUACUACGACUGAAAAUACACAACGCAGAGUCUGUCCGAACAGUUUAGAAAUAAGCUGAAAUCUAACAGGGGGAGGUUGUGAGGGUCCGCAACCAGAGACGUCUCUCUGAUUCUGCUGCUGACAUUGGUGUGG